CAAAUCCUCAAGUUAAAUUGCAAGUCCUUCAAAAUAUCACGUAGUUUGUUUUAGUUAAGAUAACAUCUUGUCUGACAAACUUCAAAUCAAAACGAAAUUUCAAAUCACAUUUACUGAUUGGAACAUUUACCACGGAUGUAUAUACAAUUGUGUUGAGUAAACUUCUUGAGAGGCCUAUCCAGAUAUACCAUGACAUAUAACGUGACAGUUAAUUGGAGUAUAAUAGUAAAUAAAACUUAUAAGAGCAGCGUAGAAAUGAUAGAUGAAAAGGGUCUGAAAUGGAUAUCCUUGAUUAUUCUCCUUGGAAUAAUAUUUCUAAAUAUAUUGGUGGUAGUGUUAUUAGUAUCAAGAAAACCAAAAUCUAGAAUGAGAUUUUUUGUGGCGAACUUGGCAAUUGCAGAUCUUUGCGUGGGAAUAUGUUUUGUACUGCCUGAAACUCUGUUCAAUUGGUUUAAUGUCUCAUGGAAUCCAUACGCGUGUUAUAUUCUUUACGCGUAUUUCUCAAUGGUUCCAUUUUAUGUGUCAACAUAUGCAAUUGUAAUUUUAUCAAUUGACCGUGCAUAUGUUAUUUUAAAACCCUUUGCAUCUGCAUCUAAAGGAAAACUAUACCGAUAUGGAUUGGCAAUGUCCUCAUGGAUGAUUGGAUGUAUCCUUGCAAUUCCUUACGGGGUCUUUGGUACAUAUAACGAAGAAGAGGUUUACUGCUCACAUGAGGCGCCAAGCUUAUUUAUUCUUCAGUUCAAAAGAAAUAUAUCUUUGUUGCACAAUUUGAAGAUCGAAUUGUGUAUAGAUUAACAAGUAGUAUGUCAUGUGUCUGUAAUUAAUCAGUUACAGGUGAUGUUAUACUUGGAUCUGUGUACUAUAAUCAUAAUUCCACUGUUGAUUAUAAGUGUGUGCUACAUAAUUAUCAUUAUCAAACUUUGUGAACGAAAAAGAGGUGAAAUUAUUCUAGAUAAAGAUUCAGAUGAUGAUUGUGAUAUAGAUGUCAAACAUCAAGCUACAACAAAGGCAAAAGUCAGAACUAUCAAACUAGUAUGUGUUGUCUUUUUAGCAUACAUUAUGUGUUGGUCCCCAAUUACAAUUGCAGCCAUUAUGCUUCAUCAUAAUCUCGCACACUAUGGACUGUGGUUUAUUGUACUGUAUAUGCUUGCUCCGUUAAACAGCCUGGUAAAUCCACUGGUGUUUCUGAUUUUCAACCAGAAAAUGUUUCGGCGGAAAAAGAAAAAGGGUUUUAGCAGAACUACUUUUGAUGCAGAAACUCUGAGAGUAACAUUUUGCAGCUAAAUGAACACUGAUUAUGAUCAAAUACAUGAUGUGUGCUUGCUUGAGUUGUUGC